AGAAAAUGCAUUUGCUCGUCGUGGGGGGGUGGUCAUCAUGCAUCCCAGCUGCUGUUGGGUCAACGGGCGGGAGGUCGAGUUCUUUGCAUACCCGAGUGUCGGGUGACAAUCACGCAGACAGGUGUUGACACUGCGUGUAUGGUAUAGAGCUCCUGCACGUGACGCCACCAUUUUCACGGCGCCGUAUUGCCGGUCAAAAAGAGCUGCUCGACAGUGUGGGGGACAUUGAACCAGAGCAGGAUAAUACACAACGCCCGAGACUUGUUGUGCUGUUGGUUGUUAAAAAGACGAGACAGAAAUUCAAAGAGAUCAUUCUAUGGAAUAACCAGCUGAAAAGACGAGAAAAUGGAUUUCAAUGGAUUUUGCCAAUUAACGUGAUGGAUGGCGCACAACCAAAUACACACGACUGUGGAGCGAUCACUUCACUUCAGUGUUUGGGAUCUGCAUGCGCAGACGGCGCGGGCUCACCAACAAAGCCGUCCCGUCCGACCAACUUCAAAGCCAGCUUGUCGGCAAGAACCGAAGAGUUGCCAUGGGCGAUGUUGGCAAAGGGCCCGGCGUGGAC